ACAUCCAUGAGCCUCCUGAGGACUACAGAGGAGAAGUAAAUAUUGUGGAAUGUUGGGAUUCUGUUUGCCUUGAGAUGAUUUCCCAUUGGUUUUCCCACAGCACAAGAGAAAACCCACUUGCAGUCCAUCAUUGUUUUGAAUUCUGGGCUCCUUGGAUUGGCCCCCAUACCAGAAAGUCUAGCAUUGUGUUAAACACUGAAUGCGGAAAGUUGUACCAUCCAAAGCCUGAUGAAUAGGCUGAUGUUGUUGUAAUAGAAUACUUAAAUGAAGUCAUGAAGUUAAAGGUUGAUGCUGUGAAGCAGCUGUGUAAGGAGAGUGGUUUGGACAGUACAGGCUCCAAAACGGACCUAAUUCUCCAACUGCAUGAGGGAAUUAGGAACAGACACGUGUAUGAUAAAAUAUUUGAAAAAAAUAUGAGGAGC